CAAGCUUGACAGGUAUCUCCAUAAAAGUGGCCAUCCAGGAAUGAAUGAAGUGUUCCCUUUCUGUUCCA
rfam:Procavia capensis cont1.540145, whole genome shotgun sequence.